CGUGAAAAAAAAAAAGAGAGACUCCCCUUCUUGCCAUCAGUUGAAUCCCUAAAACCCCGUUCACCGAUUUUGAUUCUCAAAACUCUAAUAUCUUUGAUUUUUACCAUCUUCCAAACACCAAAUCUUUUCUUAAGUAAAAAAGAAACAUCAAGAACACCAUUAAAGCCAUUGUCAUUCAACUUGUGAGUUUUCUUAGAUUUAUACCAAUCGUUUGUUUUUCCCUUAAUCAAGAUUCGGAACUGUUGGAGCCUUCGACGAGCAAGGCGAAAUGAAAGGAAAAGUUAAUUGAACUUUCGACGACUAGGCGAAAGCGCGAACAGUAAUUGUUUGGAAUCUUUGCUUAUAGACACGAUUUAUAGUGUUAAAUUGGAACUUAGGAGUAGCCUAAACCUCUAUCCUAAGUUCUAAGUGUAAGCUUAAUUACUCUUCUCAUUUUAUAUUGCUAAAUUUGUGAUUAUGUGAUGUAAAUUGAGUAAUGUAAUGUAUUCAAGUGAUAUGCAACAUAUGUUGUGUUAUUUCUUGUGAAAUAUAUGAAUUGUGAGCAUGUAAACAUGCCAAGUAAAUGUGAUGAUGUUGUGUUAUAAUGUAAAUGUGUAAUGAAAGUGUGUAGAAAAUGGUAAGUAAAAAUGUGUAUAAUUAUUGAUAUUUUGGCCUUGCGAUCUUUUGAGACCGUUGAUAUAGUUGGCAUGUCAUAGGAUUUUGUGAGUACUCACCUUUGUGUUAUGAUUUUGGGGCAUUAAGGCUCGGGACAGUUUGGAGAGAUAAGGGAAUGUGAGCUAAGCUCUAUUCAUCGGGAUAUGUUGGUGUGUUGGAGAGAGUUAGUUUAAUGCUACACUUUUGGGAUAUGUUUUUUUUGGUGUGUUGGAGAUUUGUGUAUCUAAUGUGUGGUGAUAGAGCCCACUUUUAUGUUUCGUAGUCUCAAGUUGAAAAUUUAUCGAACAGUGAAUUAUGUAUGAAAUGCAUUGCAUGUAUAACUAUGUAAAUACAAUGUUAGAUGUAUUAGUAAGUGAUGCAUAAAUAGGUUAAUUUGGCACUCUAGUUAAACACUGUUGAGAAUGUUUCUCUUGCGGUUUUCGUUUAACAUAUGAUAUUGUGUGUAUUUGUAGUAAUCUUAUACAUUUACUGAGCUUGUUAAACUCACACACUCCAUUCUAAACCAUUGUAUAUAAUUAGCGUUGCUGUGUAUUCCAAGGAAGUGAUCCAAGUUAGGCUUAGUAAAUUGAGUAGGUGAUAUUAUUAUUCUUUGAACUGUUGAAAUAAAUACAAUAUGGAUAGAGAUAUUAACUGGUUAUUAUUAUGUUAUUGUUGGAUUAGUAUGAUUAUGAAUUUCUAAAAAUUUUGCUUGGAAAUUAUUAAUAUCUUUUAAUUGUUAUUACCAUGCUUUGGAAUGUUAAGGUAAAGAUAUUGUGUUGGACUGUGUAUUGGGUGAAUUUGGUGCUUGAAGCUGUGAUGAUUAAUGCAUGUUAGAAUAGAAAUAUGUUGAGCAUGUUUUAUACUCUGUUUUAUUGCGUUUUUUGUGAAUAUGAGUAGAGGUACUGAUACUUGGACAUAAAUAUCGAUACCUCAGAGUUGAAUUGUAUUUUCGUGAAGUCAGUAGCUUAAUUUGGAAUCGAUACACAAACACAAGUAUUGAUACUCAGGGUGAAAAUAUCGAUACCUUUGCCCAUGUAUUGAUAAAAUGCUUUCGUUUAAAAUUUGACAGAAUGCUAGUUUCUUGUCGAUUUUCUUGCUAAUAUCGAUACUUAUCUCCAAAAUAUUGAUACACACGAUUGAGUAUUGAUACCUACGUGAUAUUCUUUGGAAAUUUGCUAAAUGGUUCCUAAGCAUGCUUUAAAUUGCUUCUAGGGUUGAUUAAAGUAUGUUAAGUCAUUUUUAAUGUUGCCUAGGGUGUUUUAGACGUAAAACUUCUGUAAAUGUUUGGAUGUCACGAUUAUUGUACACAAUUGGGACUAUGUGAAUAUGUAUGAAUUGUGAUGUUUGAUGUAGCGUCCUGUUAUUCAGGCUCGGCCACUAGGUCGAGUAUAGGGUCUUACACUAAAGUGAGCAAAAUAGGGUAUAAAGAAAACUACACAACAUGUGGUAAACCCUGCCAUGAUAUAAGGAUUUGCAAGGGGGUGGUAUGGGGUUAACAAAAAGGAAAGCAUUUGGGAGCAAAAAACGAGUCAAAAUCGAACAAAUAGAGUUGUUUUCAGGAGCCACAUGACCUGGGCAUUUCCACACGGGCUGGACACACACCUGUGUGAGCCACACGGGCUAGAGACAAGCCAAUGUUUAGCCCGUGUUGAUAUUGCAUCUUGCUUCCCAAAUACGCAAAAGAAACUCAAUUUUUAGUUUUUCUGAGCAUUCUAAAAUCUAUAAAUACCAACUAGAAGAAGACAUAAGGAGCGAUAAAAGAAGAUCGAAGAAAAUACUCGAAGAACACCAUCAAAAUCAACUUGGAAGUGGAUCCCCAUCAAGAUUGAAGAUUUCCUUUUAAUUUCUUUCGAAGUUUUAUUGAGUUUCUUUAUGUCUUGUAGUUAUUCUGACUUUGAGAUGUUUCUAUUUAGGAUUAUGAACUAAUUCCCUGGAUACCUAGGGAGGAUGAAACCUAUGAUGAAUCCUUUUAUCUAAUGUCUAUUUUUACGCGAUAAA